AGCAGCCGCGGUAAUUCCAGCUCCAAUAGCGUAUAUUAAAGUUGUUGCAGUUAAAAAGCUCGUAGUUGAAUUUCGGGGUCAGUAGGUUGGUCGUGCCACUGGUAUGCACUGGCCUCACUGAUUCCUCCCUCUUGUAGAACCGUAAUGCCAUUAAGUUGGUGUUGCGGGGAAACAGGACUGUUACUUUGAAAAAAUUAGAGUGUUUAAAGCAGGCUAACGCUUGAAUACAUUAGCAUGGAAUAAUGAAAUAGGACGAUCGAUCCUAUUUUGUUGGUUUCUAGGAUUGACGUAAUGAUUAAUAGGGAUAGUUGGGGGCAUUAGUAUUCAAUUGUCGGAGGUGAAAUUCUUGGAUUUAUUGAAGACUAACUACUGCGAAAGCAUUUGCCAAGGAUGUUUUCAUUAAUCAAGAACGAAAGUUAGGGGAUCGAAGACGAUCAGAUACCGUCGUAGUCUUAACCAUAAACUAUGCCGACUAGGGAUCGGAUGAUGUUAAUUUUUUAAUGACUCAUUCGGCGCCUUACG
rnacentral:rRNA from 1 species